GUGUGUACACCCUAUAAAUACAGGCGCAGCAGGAGAAACUGAAACACAACUCAUCCUUCCUUUCUGUUCAGAGGCAAACUGAGUGGUUUUUGCUGUUGACACCAAUUAGAAGACAUCAAGGAACAUCAGAUUUUGGACACUUUGAACUUCCAUAGUGACGUGUUCCUCUGCAGUGCCUAUGACAGAUGACAUGUAAGGAGUUUUGGAGAUGAUGGUUUAAAUCACGAGCAGCAUUUUGAAUCCCAACAGCUGUUGGAUCCUGAGUCAGACGACUGGAAUGAGAACA